UACGUAGGGGGCAAGCGUUGUCCGGAUUUAUUGGGCGUAAAGAGCGUGUAGGCGGCCAAGCAGGUCCGCUGUGAAAACUCGAGGCUCAACCUCGAGACGUCGGUGGAAACCGUUUGGCUAGAGUCCGGAAGAGGAGAGUGGAAUUCCCGGUGUAGCGGUGAAAUGCGUAGAUAUCGAGAGGAACACCUGCGGCGAAGGCGGGUUGCUGGGCUGAUACUGACGCUGAGGCGCGAAAGCCAGGGGAGCGAACGGG
rnacentral:rRNA from 1 species